rnacentral:rRNA from 1 species
ACGUCAAAUCCUCAUGGCCUUUAUGUCCAGGGCCACGACACAUGCGACAAUGGUGAGGACAAUGGGAUGCAAAAGGGUAACCUAGAGCAAAUCCCUCAAAAACUACACCCCAGUACCGAUUGAGGACUGCAACUCGUCCUCAUGAAGCUGGAGUUGCUAGUAACUGUGAGUCAGCUAUAUCACAGUGAAUACCGGUUCCCGGGUUU